rnacentral:lncRNA from 1 species
AUGGCAAGGUUCUUCCCUGGUCCCUUCUCAACAUCUCUGUGGACUGUGAAGCUAGAACUGGACAGCUUUCCUGUGGCACCGGCAUCAAUAUCACAAUAUGAACGCUGCCCACUUGCAAGGGCUACCUCUGUGAACGUGUCCUCACCUGGGCUGUCAUCUUCACAUCAGGGCCUUAAUGUGCCCUCAGAUUACUCCAGGCAUGUGCACACUGCAGCAAAGAAAACAAACCCUUGGAAAUGCUGGUUCCCCCAAAUCCUUGUAGUAGGGAUUGCAGUGGGCCCCACUGAGGUCUUUAUGGAGAUUAGGCCAGACCGUGUGACACAUGAUUAUGCAAUUCAGCUUGCAGGGUCUUCUCCCACUUCAGCUUUUCACAGUCCUCCCUGCCCUUGCUGUGUCAGUGCGUUCCCAGGUGAACAGUCGCAAAGUUCAAGAAGGGUGAAAGAAAGAGGCCACUCAGAGUCAGAUAGGAGGAGGAGUGCAAUUGCCAACACUGCAAUACCUGUCUCAGGAGCUAUGUCACCUACCAGCUGCCAGCCUGGAGGAGCCACUCCCUGGAAUAACUCAUACUCGUGGCAGGAAUGCUUCUUCUACUGCACCCUCAGAGUGGGAAUUGUCAGCUUUGGCUUUUUGUUGGCUUUCUUAAGUUUCUUUAGUCCUGUGCUGUUUAUUUUCCUGUAUCCUUGUUGGGCCAGCCAGGUAACAAGCUGCUUAUGCAGGUUAUGGGUUCAGAAGACCUUGACAAAUUUGUGGUGGCAUCCAUGGAUGGAGUACCUUGUCUAUAAGGAGAAAAGGGCAUGGGCCUCUGCUUGGGAACAGGGGCUGACCCAGGUCGUGGGCUCCUGGCAGCUUGGGAAAGGGUCUAGGCACAGCAGUAUCAUGCUCAUGGCAAACUGCACAACCUCCUGUGCUGUGAAAUUUUUGCAGAAUUCAGUAUGCUGGAGCACUGGCUUAAAGAUGAUCUGGGCCCAUGCUGUGCAGCUGUGUUAUAGGUAUUUUAGCUAA